CGGGCUCCCCCACUCCAGACGUGUCCCAACCUGCAGCGGCCCCUGCCCCUGGGCCCAGAGGAAAGCCUCGCCCGCCUUCCCAGGGCCAGGACAAGCCCCAGCGAGGCCUGGCCCCCGUGCCAGCUCUGAGCGUGAGAAAGUGCUGAGCCGGGGAGGAGGGUGUGGAGUGGCUCCAGUAAGCCAGAGAAAAGAAAAUGCCAUUCGGAAAAUCCUAAGGAAGAGAGGAUGCAUUUCCUCGUCUCCACGUGGAAGCGGAUCACCCUAAAGGUCUUCAUCCUGGUCUUUUUCAUGCUGAGGAGGCUGGGGAGGAGAAGGAAGAGGAGGGGCUGGUCUUGCUGACCCAGGAGCAGCAGAGAAAGGAGAAAAUCCACGUGCAGGGGCUGGCCAGCGCUGGGCUUCUCGGGAAUGGAAUCACACACGGACUGUGGCGUACACAUCACAACUUUAAACCCCGUCCGUACUGAAGCCUGCGUCCGAAUUUCUUCUGUUUUUGUGGCGGAAGGAUAAAUAUUCCAUUGUACAGACGGUCUACCCGGUUCAUCCGUCACCCACCCAUGGGCACCCGGGC
rnacentral:lncRNA from 1 species